rnacentral:rRNA from 1 species
CAGCCGCCGCGGUAAUGCGUAGGGUGCAAGCGUUAAUCGGAAUUACUGGGCGUAAAGCGUGCGCAGGCGGUUAUACAAGACAGAUGUGAAAUCCCCGGGCUCAACCUGGGACCUGCAUUUGCGACUGUAUAGCUAGAGUACGGUAGAGGGGGAUGGAAUUCCGCGUGUAGCAGUGAAAUGCGUAGAUAUGCGGAGGAACACCGAUGGCGAAGGCAAUCCCCUGGACCUGUACUGACGCUCAUGCUCGAAAGCGUGGGGAGCAAACAGGAUUAGAUACCCGCGUAGUCCCUGUCUCUUAUAC